UACGUAGGGUGCAAGCGUUGUCCGGAAUUACUGGGCGUAAAGGGCGCGUAGGCGGGAUGGCAAGUCGGUCGUGAAAUCCCUCGGCUCAACCGAGGAACGUCGAUCGAUACUGCUGUUCUUGAGGAUUGCAGAGGAGACUGGAAUUCCCGGUGUAGCGGUGAAAUGUGUAGAGAUCGGGAGGAACACCGGUGGCGAAGGCGGCAUCCUGGACCAAUUCUGACGCUGAGGAGCGAAAGCCAGGGGAGCAAACGGG
rnacentral:rRNA from 1 species